AUUCACCUGACGAGUCCAAAAAAUAGGACGAACGUUACGUCCUGAAU
rfam:Schistosoma rodhaini strain Burundi genome assembly, scaffold: SROB_scaffold0009644